rnacentral:misc_RNA from 1 species
GUUGCGUCACUGGUCGAUUUAAUCACGACUUAUGAGUGACAAUAUACUCGUUGUCGAAGGCAUUGUAACCCAACAAGUGGGGAGUUCGAUUUGGUUGGGACAAAUCGAACGAUCUGCGGUAGCAUCGAUAAUGACGUGGUGUGGAUGCAAGCUGUGCCAUGCCUGGAUGUUGUUGCUACUUUGUGAUGCUGAUGAGAUUUGUGUUGAAUGGUGAUGCAAGGCUUUUUUGGUUUGAUGCGUUUUUGGUGAUGACAUUCGUCUCGAGGUGAUGCGGUGUCAUGUUGCCUGCGUAUCCUGGUUUUGAGCUGUUGAGCUUAAAACAUGUGGAUUAUCGGUUAGUGACACGGCAUCGCUCCCUUGGUUGAUGAAAGUCGUCCAAUGAUGCGUUGGUUUGUUUGUUUUCUUCUCGCAUCGCUCGGUGCAUUCUGUGGUCAUUUUGGCUGUUGGUAGCUUGCUUGGCAAUUGAGCUUGGUGGGUUACUACUGGUUGGGGUGUCUUCGGGGAUGUCUACCGUAAAGGUGCAUGAGUGGUGUUUGGUUUGUUACGGGUGGUUGGCUCUUUGCUUGCGCAACAACUUCUACCCGGCAUACCUCUUCAGUCUUGUGUCAAUGCUUGUAUCGCAUUGAAUGCACGGCGGGUUUCUUGUGUUGCAUGCCUAAUUAAUGGUAUCGUUUGAUGAAUUGGUUUUCCUUUCGUCUUGCGUCGCCUAUGCGAUGUGAGAGGAACCUUGAAGCAGCCUUUGUGAUCCACUCUUUUGAUGCAUACGCAUUGAUUUUGUGGCCCAUUUAGUGUUGCUCGGUCUCAUGGAUAUGGAACCUGGUGUGGGCAUGGAAUCUUAAUGGUUCCUUGUUUGCCCAAGUUUAGUUUUUCUAAAACGAUUGUCU